CCAGACUCCUACGGGAGGCAGCAGUGGGGAAUAUUGGGCAAUGGAGGAAACUCUGACCCAGCAACGCCGCGUGAAUGAUGAAGGUCUUCGGAUUGUAAAGUUCUUUUCUAAGGGAAGAAGAAAGUGACGGUACCUUAGGAAUAAGCCUCGGCUAACUACGUGCCAGCAGCCGCGGUAAUACGUAGGAGGCAAGCGUUAUCCGGAAUGACUGGGCGUAAAGGGUGCGUAGGUGGUUUGACAAGUUGGUAGCGUAACUCCGGGGCUCAACCUCGGCACUACUACCAAAACUGUUGGACUUGAGUGCAGGAGGGGCAAAUGGAAUUCCUAGUGUAGCGGUGGAAUGCGUAGAUAUUAGGAGGAACACCAGUGGCGAAGGCGAUUUGCUGGACUGUAACUGACACUGAGGCACGAAAGCGUGGGGAGCAAACAGGAUUAGAUACCCGAGUA
rnacentral:rRNA from 1 species